rnacentral:rRNA from 1 species
UACGAAGGGUGCAAGCGUUACUCGGAAUUACUGGGCGUAAAGGGCGCGUAGGCGGCCUUCUAAGUCGAACGUGAAAUCCCCGGGCUCAACCCGGGAACUGCGUCCGAUACUGGAAGGCUUGAAUCCGGGAGAGGGAUGCGGAAUUCCAGGUGUAGCGGUGAAAUGCGUAGAUAUCUGGAGGAACACCGGUGGCGAAGGCGGCAUCCUGGACCGGUAUUGACGCGUGAGGCGCGAAAGCCAGGGGAGCAAACGGG